AUUGAACGCUGGCGGCAGGCCUAACACAUGCAAGUCGAACGAGUGGCGGACGGGUGAGUAAUGUCUGGGAAACUGCCUGAUGGAGGGGGAUAACUACUGGAAACGGUAGCUAAUACCGCAUACCAUCAGAUGUGCCCAGAUGGGAUUAGCUUGUUGGUGGGGUAACGGCUCACCAAGGCGACGAUCCCUAGCUGGUCUGAGAGGAUGACCAGGCAAACUGGAAACGAGGAACGGGCCAGAAUCCUACGGGAGGCAGGAGUGGGGAAUAUUGGACAAAGGGCGGAAGGCUGAUGGAGCCAUGGCGCGGGGAAGGAGAAGGCCUUCGGGUUGUAAAGGACUUUCAGCGGGGAAGACUUACCCGCAGAAGAAGCACCGGCUAACUCCGUGCCAGCAGCCGCGGUAAUAC
rnacentral:rRNA from 1 species